GACUACCGGGGUAUCUAAUCCUGUUUGCUCCCCACGCUUUCGCGUCUCAGCGUCAGUUAUCGUCCAGAAAGUCGCCUUCGCCACCGGUGUUCCUCCUAAUAUCUACGCAUUUCACCGCUACACUAGGAAUUCCACUUUCCCUUCCGACACUCAAGAGACGCAGUUUCAGAUGCAGUUCCGCGGUUGAGCCGCGGGAUUUCACAUCUGACUUGCAUCCCCGCCUACACGCCCUUUACACCCAGUAAAUCCGGACAACGCUUGCCACCUACGUAUUACCGCGGCUGCUGGCACGUAGUUAGCCGUGGCUUGUUUUUCAGGUACCGUCAUUUCUUUCUUCCCUGAUCAAAGAAGUUUACAAUCCGAAGACCUUCAUCCUUCACGCGGCGUCGCUGGGUCAGGCUUUCGCCCAUUGCCCAAUAUUCCCCACUGCAGCCGCCCGUAGG
rnacentral:rRNA from 1 species